rnacentral:rRNA from 3 species
GAAGGUGGCCUGUGAGGGUUGCUGGAGGUAUCAGAAGUGCGAAUGCUGACAUAAGUAACGAUAAAGCGGGUGAAAAGCCCGCUCGCCGGAAGACCAAGGGUUCCUGUCCAACGUUAAUCGGGGCAGGGUGAGUCGACCCCUAAGGCGAGGCCGAAAGGCGUAGUCGAUGGGAAACGGGUUAAUAUUCCCGUACUUGGUGUUACUGCGAAGGGGGGACGGAGAAGGCUAUGUUGGCCGGGCGACGGUUGUCCCGGUUUAAGCGUGUAGGCUGGUUUUCCAGGCAAAUCCGGAAAAUCAAGGCUGAGGCGUGAUGACGAGGCACUACGGUGCUGAAGCAACAAAUGCCCUGCUUCCAGGAAAAGCCUCUAAGCAUCAGGUAACAUCAAAUCGUACCCCAAACCGACACAGGUGGUCAGGUAGAGAAUACCAAGGCGCUUGAGAGAACUCGGGUGAAGGAACUAGGCAAAAUGGUGCCGUAACUUCGGGAGAAGGCACGCUGACACGUAGGUGAAGUGAUUUACUCAUGGAGCUGAAGUCAGUCGAAGAUACCAGCUGGCUGCAACUGUUUAUUAAAAACACAGCACUGUGCAAACACGAAAGUGGACGUAUACGGUGUGACGCCUGCCCGGUGCCGGAAGGUUAAUUGAUGGGGUCAGCGCAAGCGAAGCUCCUGAUCGAAGCCCCGGUAAACGGCGGCCGUAACUAUAACGGUCCUAAGGUAGCGAAAUUCCUUGUCGGGUAAGUUCCGACCUGCACGAAUGGCGUAAUGAUGGCCAGGCUGUCUCCACCCGAGACUCAGUGAAAUUGAACUCGCUGUGAAGAUGCAGUGUACCCGCGGCAAGACGGAAAGACCCCGUGAACCUUUACUAUAGCUUGACACUGAACAUUGAGCCUUGAUGUGUAGGAUAGGUGGGAGGCUUUGAAGUGUGGACGCCAGUCUGCAUGGAGCCGACCUUGAAAUACCACCCUUUAAUGUUUGAUGUUCUAACGUGGACCCGUUACCCGGGUUGCGGACAGUGUCUGGUGGGUAGUUUGACUGGGGCGGUCUCCUCCUAAAGAGUAACGGAGGAGCACGAAGGUUGGCUAAUCCUGGUCGGACAUCAGGAGGUUAGUGCAAUGGCAUAAGCCAGCUUGACUGCGAGCGUGACGGCGCGAGCAGGUGCGAAAGCAGGUCAUAGUGAUCCGGUGGUUCUGAAUGGAAGGGCCAUCGCUCAACGGAUAAAAGGUACUCCGGGGAUAACAGGCUGAUACCGCCCAAGAGUUCAUAUCGACGGCGGUGUUUGGCACCUCGAUGUCGGCUCAUCACAUCCUGGGGCUGAAGUAGGUCCCAAGGGUAUGGCUGUUCGCCAUUUAAAGUGGUACGCGAGCUGGGUUUAGAACGUCGUGAGACAGUUCGGUCCCUAUCUGCCGUGGGCGCUGGAGAACUGAGGGGGGCUGCUCCUAGUACGAGAGGACCGGAGUGGACGCAUCACUGGUGUUCGGGUUGUCAUGCCAAUGGCACUGCCCGGUAGCUAAAUGCGGAAGAGAUAAGUGCUGAAAGCAUCUAAGCACGAAACUUGCCCCGA